AGUGAUACACCUUGAUAGGAGGAUGGAGACCCAGGGGCAAACUGACUUGCAGUACCUUGAGGCUGGAGUGAUCCACCAUAAGCAGCACCUCCCUGCAGGGUGAGUGGCAGAGAGGACCCUGACUGGGUGCCAUAGCUAGAGGUAAACUGCUUCCGUGAACUCAGGACUGUGGCAGACUGGCUGGCAGCACCUUGGGGUGAGGAUAGUGAUACACUUGGAUAGGAGGAUGGAGACCCAGG